AGAGUUUGAUCCUGGCUCAGGACAAACGCUGGCGGCGUGCCUUACGCAUGCAAGUCGAACGGGAGUUAGUUGCUUCGGUAACUGGCUCUAGUGGCGAACGGGUGAGUAACGCGUAGGUGACCUACCCUUUAGUGGGGGAUAACUUCGAGAAAUCGGGGCUAAUACCGCAUAAGUUCGGUCCUUCGUUGGGUCGAGGAAAGCCGCAAGGCGCUGAAGGAUGGGCUUGCGUCCGAUUAGCUUGUUGGUGGGGUAAAAGCUUACCAAGGCGAUGAUCGGUAGCUGGUCUGAGAGGAUGGUCAGCCACACUGGGACUGAGACACGGCCCAGACUCCUACGGGAGGCAGCAGCGAGGAAUCUUGGGCAAUGGGCGAAAGCCUGACCCAGCAACGCCGCGUGGGGGGUGAAGGCCCUCGGGUCGUAAACCCCUUUUGUCGGGGAAGAUAGUGACGGUACCCGACGAAUAAGUCUCGGCUAACUACGUGCCAGCAGCCGCGGUAAUACGUAGGAGGCGAGCGUUGUCCGGAUUUACUGGGCGUAAAGAGCGCGUAGGCGGCUAGUUAAGUCUAAUGUGAAAUCUCCCGGCCCAACUGGGAGGGGACAUCAGAUACUGGCUGGCUUGAGUGCGGCAGAGGGACGUGGAAUUCCCGGUGUAGUGGUGAAAUGCGUAGAUAUCGGGAGGAACACCAGUGGCGAAGGCGGCAUCCUGGGCCGUAACUGACGCUGAGGCGCGAAAGCGUGGGGAGCGAACCGGAUUAGAUACCCUGGUAGUCC
rnacentral:rRNA from 1 species